UGCUUGCCUAACAAACACUCUCCUCUGUCUCUCAUCUCUCUUUCUCUACAACGCUAAUCAGUGGCUCUUUAUCCGUUACCGGAAAGCCCUUUAUUCGACGAAAUAGGUGUUUACUGGUGGUUUUUUUUCACAAAUAUGAUACUAUGAAAUUUAAAACCUUAAUUACCUUUUCGUCGCCUGUUGAGUUCGUCGCACGGGAACAACAGCAGGAAUUCCUUUGGCUUCUACCAUCGUUGUGAACAGUAAAAGAGUGUAACUGGUGCUGGGUUGCGAUUGACAAGGGGGUUACAGAGAGAGCAACCCAGGCAUGUGAUGCAGCCAUCUCUAAGCUAGACACGCUUGGCGAGGAUUCUUGCAAAGAUGUAGUAACAUGGAGCAUUGCUCCCAUUGCUUGAGUCAUCAAUGUUUUGCUUAAUGCCCAACCACCAUCAAGAGUGAACAGAGUAUAAGUAUACUUUUGGUUAUCAGAUGUAACAGGAGUUUACUUUUGGUAUUACAGUUAUAUGAGUUUGUAGUCUCAUGUUGAUUAUCCGUUUUCCCUGCCGCAACGCGCGGGCGGGUGUAAAUACUAGUUCAUAAACUAAAAUAAAUCACAAAACCGGUACUU
rnacentral:lncRNA from 1 species